AAAGUACUCCCUCCGUCCGAAAAAACUUGUCCCAAACUUGUUCCUCAAAUGGAUGUAUCUAGCACUAACUUGGUGCUAGAUACACCCAUUUGAGGGACAAGUUUUUUCAGACGGAGGGAGUACAUC
rnacentral:pre_miRNA from 1 species